UAUUUAAAUAGUUUAAGUAAAAAAUAUUGAUUUGUGGUGUCAAAGAUGUACGAUGUAUUUUAAGU
rnacentral:tRNA from 1 species